GAUGAAGAACGUAGCGAAAUGCGAUACUUGGUGUGAAUUGCAGAAUCCCGUGAACCAUCGAGUCUUUGAACGCAAGUUGCGCCCGAAGCCAUUAGGCCGAGGGCACGCCUGCCUGGGCGUCACACGUCGUUGCCCCCCCAUCUACUCCUUCGGGAUUGUGGGGGGCGGAUGAUGGCCUCCCGUGCGCCUCGUCGCGCGGUUGGCAUAAAUGCCAAGUCCUCGGCGACGCACGCCACGACAAUCGGUGGUUGCGAAACCUCGGUUGCCCGUCGUGUGCGGUCGUCGCGCAUCGAGGGCUCGAAAAAAUUGCCGGGCUCCGGCUCGGCUUUCAACGCGACCCCAGGUCAGGCGGGGUUACCCGCUGAAUUUAAGCAUAUCAAUAAGCGGAGGA
rnacentral:misc_RNA from 1 species